UUAAUCGAAGCCACCUGAAGGACGGCUUUCCUUAGCAACGGCAAGGCCUGCACUCCUCUCAUAUCCUGGCACUUCAACAAGUUUCGUGGCUCAAGCAAGAGGCACCUGUCACUGAAAGACUGCUUUUCUCAGCAACCACAUGAACAGCAUUACUCGAAUUUCCUGAUUCAGCUGAUCUACCCGUCUUUGGACAAGUGGUGUUGGCAGAGGAGGUCAUAGAAAUCUACAUCCUUCCGGACAAUGAUGGGGCAGUCAGCGAUGUAGGAGUUGUGGUUGAGGGCAUCACUGUCCUCAGCAAUCUUGGGAAUCUCAGCAAAGCCUGCUUCUAUCUUUUGGGACUCACGU